rnacentral:rRNA from 1 species
GACGAACCGUGCGAACGUUGUUCGGAAUCACUGGGCUUAAAGGGCGCGUAGGCGGACCUCCAAGUCCGGGGUGAAAUCUUUCGGCUUAACCGGAAAAGUGCCUUGGAUACUGGGGGUCUCGAGGGAGGCAGGGCGGAUGGAACUUCCGGUGGAGCGGUGAAAUGCGUUGAUAUCGGAAGGAACGCCGGUGGCGAAAGCGAUCCGCUGGACCUCUUCUGACGCUGAGGCGCGAAAGCCAGGGAGCAAACGGG